rnacentral:rRNA from 1 species
GACGAACGCUGGCGGCGUGCUUAACACAUGCAAGUCGAACGGAAAGGCCCUGCUUUUGUGGGGUGCUCGAGUGGCGAACGGGUGAGUAACACGUGAGUAACCUGCCCUUGACUUUGGGAUAACUUCAGGAAACUGGGGCUAAUACCGGAUAGGAGCUCCUGCUGCAUGGUGGGGGUUGGAAAGUUUCGGCGGUUGGGGAUGGACUCGCGGCUUAUCAGCUUGUUGGUGGGGUAGUGGCUUACCAAGGCUUUGACGGGUAGCCGGCCUGAUAGGGUGACCGGCCACAUUAGGACUGAGAUACGACACAGACUCCUACGGGAGGCAGCAGUGGGGAAUAUUGCACAAUGGGCGGAAGCCUGAUGCAGCAAAGCCGCGUGCGGGAUGACGGCCUUCGGGUUGUAAACCGCUUUCGCCUGUGACGAAGCGUGAGUGACGGUAAUGGGUAAAGAAGCACCGGCUAACUACGUG